rnacentral:rRNA from 1 species
UACGAAGGGGGCUAGCGUUGUUCGGAUUUACUGGGCGUAAAGCGCACGUAGGCGGAUCGUUAAGUCGGGGGUGAAAUCCUGGAGCUCAACUCCAGAACUGCCUUCGAUACUGGCGAUCUUGAGUCCGGAAGAGGUGAGUGGAACUCCUAGUGUAGAGGUGGAAUUCGUAGAUAUCGGAAGGAACACCAGUGGCGAAAGCGGCUUCCUGGUCCAGCACCGACGUUCAGGCACGAAAGCGUGGGGAGCAAACAGGG